ensembl:snoRNA
UCUUCUAUGAUGUUUAACACAGUGACUUUCGUUCUUCUGAGUCUACUGAAGCCAGCCUUUCUGUCCUGAGAAGA